UAUUUGGGUGACUUCAAAAGAUAAUCCAUGUUGUAUAUUUGUAUUUGAAAGAAAGAGGUUGAUCUCAUUGAUUCUAUCAUGAUACAAUCCUCUUCCUGCUGAGCACUUGCUCUCGUCCAUACAGCCCUUGUAGCAGUACUUUCGAGCCGUAGUACAAGUUCCUCUAUGGACAGUUGCAGGAUAAGUCUUCUCAUUCCCACUGCAAGUCACAGCCCCGGGGUAAUAAUAAGUCCUAUUGUAAGCCAUUGGCCGGCCUGUAGAAGUUGCGUCGGACAAUGGGAGGAUCCUCUUUAAUUGAUCUAUUAAUUUUGACCAUCUUUCUUUGAAGACUUGCAACGAGUUACUUCAGCCA